GUUACNCCGGGGCUAUUCACAACCCUUUGUUGUCCCACUCUGUUGCCUCCGGGGCGACCCUGCCUUCGGGCGGGGGCUCCGGGUGGACACUUACAAACUCUUGCGUAAUUUUGCAGUCUGAGUAAAUUUAAUUAAUAAAUUAAAACUUUUAACAACGGAUCUCUUGGUUCUGACAUCGAUAAAAAACACAACAGCACAACUUCUAAAUAGUAGAAACCUUGGGGACUAAUACCAUGUUUCCGGCGGUUUGCCGCCACG
rnacentral:misc_RNA from 1 species